rnacentral:rRNA from 1 species
CCUACGGGGGGCAGCAGUGGGGAAUAUUGCACAAUGGGGGAAACCCUGAUGCAGCGACGCCGCGUGUGGGAAGACGGUCCUCUGGAUUGUAAACCACUGUCCCCAGGGACGAAGAUGACGGUACCUGACUAAGAAGCCCCGGCUAACUACGUGCCAGCAGCCGCGGUAAUACGUAGGGGGCAAGCGUUAUCCGGAUUUACUGGGUGUAAAGGGGGCGCAGACGGCAGCGCAAGCCAGGAGUGAAAGCCCGGGGCCCAACCCCGGGACUGCUCUUGGAACUGCGCGGCUGGAGUGCAGGAGGGGCAGGCGGAAUUCCUGGUGUAGCGGUGAAAUGCGUAGAUAUCAGGAGGAACACCGGUGGCGAAGGCGGCCUGCUGGACUGCGACUGACGUUGAGGCCCGAAAGCGUGGGGAGCAAACAGGAUUAGAUACCCCAGUAGUC